UGGGGAAUAUUGCACAAUGGGCGCAAGCCUGAUGCAGCCAUGCCGCGUGUGUGAAGAAGGCCUUCGGGUUGUAAAGCACUUUCAGCGAGGAGGAAGGUGGUGAGCUUAAUACGCUCAUCAAUUGACGUUACUCGCAGAAGAAGCACCGGCUAACUCCGUGCCAGCAGCCGCGGUAAUACGGAGGGUGCAAGCGUUAAUCGGAAUUACUGGGCGUAAAGCGCACGCAGGCGGUUUGUUAAGUCAGAUGUGAAAUCCCCGGGCUCAACCUGGGAACUGCAUUUGAAAACUGGCAAGCUAGAGUCUCGUAGAGGGGGUAGAAUUCCAGGUGUAGCGGUGAAAUGCGUAGAGAUCUGGAGGAAUACCGGUGGCGAAGGCGGCCCCCUGGACGAAGACUGACGCUCAGGUGCGAAAGCGUGGGGAGCAAAACAGGAUUAGAUACCCUGGUAGUCCACGCUGUAAAACGAUGUCGAUUUUGGAGGUUGUGCCCUUGAGGCGUGGCUUCCGGAGCUAACGCGUUAAAUCGACCGCCUGGGGAGUACGGCCGCAAGGUUAAAAACUCAAAUGAAUUGACGGGGUCAUAGCUGUUUCCU
rnacentral:rRNA from 1 species